rnacentral:lncRNA from 1 species
CCCACCCAAAUCGUCUUUAAUUAUAUCUUUUUCCACUAAGGAUUAAAAAAGUUAGCAUCCAAUUUAUCAAUCACCAAAUUCCACAACGCGCCAGCAACUUGCACAACACUGAUCAAUAUGCCCAAACACCCAAGAAACAUGUUGAGCCAAUACAUUAAACUGUUUCUUUGAGGUUUCUUGAUGGAAAUCCACAUGAAGCAAGGGUAAACCAGAGACAAUGGCAACGCGAUCCCUCCCACAAACGCGGCUAGGCUUCCCAAGAAUGGGAAUGCCACGGAUAUAAAAUAUGUCAAUCCGCCAAAGAAGAGCUUGAUGCAUGAUCGAACCCACCUUGGGCACGCCUUAAGGUGCCUGCUUACGUAUAUUCUUUCCAAGUUGUCAAAGACGGGCAUGGCAUAAAUUUGAAAUGAGCAUAAACAUUGAAUCACCACCAUCAUGUAUAUUGUGCCUAUUAACCAUUUUGGUGUACUUUCUUGGUGGUACUUAGCAAUUGCACCCAUAAUUCCAUUUGCCGGCAUCUGUCAAUUAAAUAACAUUUUUAGAUAUCAUAUUACAAACAAAUUAUACGAAAUAAUAAUUAGUCAGAAAAAUCGAAUACAAUAAUUAAAGCAGAGUAGUAAAAAUAGUUUACCAUAUUUCCAUAAGCCCAAUAUCCUCCAAUUGCCAAGGGAAAUACACACAUUGCGAUUAAAGAGUAGGAUGCUAUCACUCCUCUCCACAUUCUUGUCUUUGUAGGAUGUUUUGGAUUUGUUGGUAAUGUCCCCUGUAUAAUUUUACAUGCAACUUUUUCAAUAAUGCAAUGAUAAAAGACGGAAUCAGAACUGAAUUUGAUAGAUUCAAUCUUUAAAAUCAAUAACACUAAAUUAACAUAAGCGAAACCAUCGACUAGUUUUCAUGUACAUGUUAACAAUGUCCAAAUUAAUAGUGAUUUCGAUUGAUAACAACAUUAAUUACCUGUAUUUCCAAUACAAGAUUGUGACCUCGAAAAGCAAUGGCAACGAUAGCAACACCAUUUAGGACAGCGCGAAAUUGAGCCAUAGUUGUUGUUACAUUAUCCGACGGAUUAUAAGUGACACCAUUAGGCCUGCCUUUGGCAAUGGAAAGUGCCCAAAUCAUAGUGAAAUAGGUCACACCCAAGAUUGAACCAACAAAGGAGACCCAAGCCAAUGAGUUCAAAUUUGGAAAAAAUUGGGCAAUUAAAAUGGCAAGACACACAAACACUAAGAACCAUUGAGCUCCACUUAGUGAUUUGUGAAGACAAUGGUGAUCAUUUUCACACAUGGCAUUGUAGAAAAGUUGUAGGGUACGUCCCCCUGCUAUAAUAGACAUGACACAAGUGCCCCCUGAUAGGUACAUUGUUGGGAAGAUGGAAAGGCACUUUCCCAAUUUUUCUCCUGAAAUAAUUAUACAUUCCAUUAAGUUCAAAAAGUGGACAUGUAUAUGUUAGACAUAAGAAUCGUGAAAUUCGAAUAUCAUUGACGUGAUUUUAUAGCUAUAUGAAUACCAAGGAUACACGUUACACUCAGAAACACAAGCUUUAAUUUUUUUUAAUAUUUCCUAAAUUUUAUGUUCAGUUAAAAUAAGUUUUUCGUUUGAACUAAUUACCGAAAGCUAUGAUGGCGAGUUGAAGAUAUCUGCUGUAACGAGUUCCAUUGACCGUUUCAUGAAGAUGAACUAAGAGCCACAUGGUGUAGAGCCGCCAUGCAAAAAUCACAGUGAGAACUACUAUUCCCCAUGACCUGCACCAAUUAAUAAAAAAAUUGUGUAUAUAUAGUGAGUUAGAUACAUUGCGUAAAUUCAAUUUAUACUAUUAAUUUACAGGUUUGUUUUCACAUAACACCUAUAAUAUGUACGUUUAAUAUUAUUAUAUAUUAUAUAGUAGAAAAUAAGACAAUAAUUGUGUAUGGAUCCUUCUGCCAAUACACAAUUAUUUCCUUUCUAUCCAUACUGGCUCCUUUUCUACGAAAGGACCACUGAUGAUUAAAGUCUAGCUAGACAUUACUUCAUUACUUCAAUCAUAUUUUCUUAUUAAUUUAUUCUAAAGAGAAUGACAUAAUUAAUUUUACGUGUAAUCAUUUUUUUUAUAAACACAUAAAUAUUAUGACAUGCAUAUUUAAGGUGCAUAGUUAUACGAAAGCUAACUUUCAACUUUUUUUUAAAUAUUAAUUUCAUGUUAAUUCAAACUGUCAUGUCAUGUGAGUAUACAUAUUAGCGUGCCUUAUUUGAAUUAUUACAUUUGUGACAUUUUUUAUUCUUUGCAGAAAAAUCUGAUAGACCAAAAGUACAUCAAACGUAGUGGCAAACAAUGGGAAAAGAAAAUCUUGUACGUAUGUAGAUUCCUCCACAAUUUUGAUUAACUUUUUUACUUACAUCACACCAAAAGCAUGAAAAAGGAAAUUAUAAACAUAAAGAAAUAUUGCAAUUUCUUUAAACAGACGACUUACUUUAUAGGGUCAAUACAUUAAAACUAUUAACUGUCUAGUCUUGGAUUACUUUUCCUCUAAGGGUUGUUAAAUUUAUUACUCCUGCGUUUUUGUUUCAUUUUAGUUGAUUUUUAUAUAAAAAAAUAUUUCUUCUAUCUGUCAUAUAGUAUUACUUUUGCUUUUAAAUAAUUUCAAUUGGUUGUUGUGAUAAAAAAUUUCUUACACGUAAAUUUAGGAUUAACUGAAUCAUAGAUCAGCAAGAACUAGAUAUAGCACGCAACAUGUAACAGACAUUAAAACGUAUCUUUAAUUUCAUACUUAUUACAAAAUUCUAAGUUAUUUUUAAUUACAUAAUUUCGAACCCAGUAGAAUUAAAACCAAAAAAUUAUUCCUUUUGUUCACUUUUCUUGUUCUUUUCUAAGAAAAAUCUAUAGCCACUACCCUGCACAGAGUAAAACCCCCCACUUUUAUGUAAUAACCUGCAAACCACACAAGAAAGGUAAUCUGCACUAGGCAAACCUAAUGCGACGAGCUCGACCCAGAAGGCAAAUCCAUUGUUUUCGCUGGGCCACCCCCGAAGGGUUAGCAUUAAUCACUUAUUCCUCAAUUCAUUUUUCAAAAUCUAAUACUAGUAUGUCAAUUACUCCCUCCGUUUUUAUAUACUUGUCAAAUUUUGACUUGACACAUCUAUUAAGAAAACAAUUAUCAUCAUUUUACCCCUAUUAAUUGAUAGGAUCCCAAACAUAUUAUUCACUGCAUUUUUUCAAAAAUGUUAACUCAAUAUCAAUAAAUUAUGGGUAUUAUAGGUAAAUAAGGAUGGAAUAAGUAUUAUUUUUUAAUGAAUAUGUGUUUAUGUCAAAUUCAAACGUGAUAAAUAAAAAUGAACAGAGAGGCAGAAGAACAUAUGUACCAUCCGAGUGAGGUUAAAGCAAAGGGAAGAACAAGCGCCGGAGUUCCAAUACCGGACGACAAGAGAUGAAACGCUGCCGUAUAAGCAUUCCCCUUUAUCGAUUCCGUUAUUGGCAACAAACUGUCUAUUUCUUUCACAACAUCCGUAUCCUUCUUCUCAUCGACGACGACGUCAUCGUCAACCGGUGAAAAAUCUGUUCCUUCUGAGUGAAGAGUGUCGUCAUCGUCAUUAAUGGGUAUAAUUUUGAAUGAAGAGAAAGAUCCCUCUAUACGACGCCGUUCGGAUACCUCGACAUCUCCCAUUGCACUUUGUAAAUAUGAGAAAUAGGUUUUUUGUUUCAAUUGUGAAUAUAUGUGAGAAAUAUGUUAGAAGAAAAUUGACUGGGUUGUUGUGUUACUCCUAUCAUUAUAUAUAGAUAUGCUGGUGUGUUAUGUGACGUAAUUGAUGACUAUAAUAUCUGACGUAAGUAAAUAAUGAUAAUGUGACUUCCCUACCUAUCUUCCUUUUAAAAUAUAUAAUAAGGGCAAAAAAGGCAAAAAUAUUCCUCUAUUAUUCCUCAAUUUUGCGAUUUAAAAUAGAUUUAUCUUUAUUUAAAAAGUAGUGCAUAUAUAUUAUUAUCGUCUGAUAUAUAGUGUAUAUAUACCUUUGUCGUUUUUUAUUAAAUAGUGUAGAUUUAUCAUUUAUAGUUAACAAAUUAAAGGAAAAAAAACUUACAUUUUAAUAGGAGUAAUUGUAACCCGUAGCAAACAAUUUCCAUUCGCCUCUCUCCCUGAAUUUCUCGCUCGCCACUCUCCCUCGCCUCUCUCACUUUAUACAAACACAAAUGUAUAAAAUGUGUUUGUGUUUGUAUAAAGCAAGAGAAAACUGUAUAUAUACAUAUCUUUUCGUUCGCCUCUUUCCCCAGAGAAUCUCGCUUGCCACUCUCACUCGCCUCUCUCAAUUUUAUACAAACACAAAUGUAUAAAUUGCGUUUGUGUUUGUAUAAAUCGAGAGAAAACUGUAUAUACAAAUACAUAUAUUUUCAUCCUAUACACUUAUAAUUAUACAAAUACAGAUCUUCCCCUGCCUAGUUUUCUUGUCUUUCUCUCUUUCUCGCUUUAUACAAACACAGAUUAUACAAUUGAUUCUUUUGUAUAUGUAUACCGAAAUAUACAUAUUAAUAGCCAUAGCAAAUAUAAAGUUUGUUAUGGAGCGCAAUUAUACAAACUAUAGCUAUAACAUACAAAUAUGAUUUUUAUGUUUGCUAAACCUAAAAUUUACUCUAAAAAGAUUACCUCAUUCAUUUUUUACGCACCUAAAUCCGACCCAAUUAAAAAUAAUGAUUAUUCAUUUAUUCGAACUUGAUCCAAGCCCAUUUUAUGACUGAUUACAAGAAAAAUUGAUUAUUUUUUUCAUUUGGAUCGGGUCUAGAAAUGUAAAAAAGGGGUGCGGUAAUUUUAGAAAGUCGCAUGACAUUUUUUCAAUCAAGUACAUAUAGAUAUUUUAACGAAAAGAGUAAAUAUGUAUCAUUUAUUAGACGAUGAGGUAUAUAUGCAUCAGUUCUUUCUAAUUAAAAGAAUUUUAAUUAGAAGUAAAAUCCACUUCUAAUUAAAAUUCUUUUAAAGAAUGUGUCAAAUCAUCAAAAAAGUCUGAAAGAAAAAGAUGAAAGUACUAUUUGUGGUCUCAAAACCAGGAAAUAAAAGGGUGAAACAAUACAAAUUUCACUAGUUUAAGUCGUAAUUAUGUUCGGGCAUGUAGUUUAACAAAUUACAUACCUUUUGUACCACAUUUUUGUUCUUCAAAAUAUAUGUAUUUAAGGGCCCGGAUACAUGUAUCUCUGAUACAUGUGAGUCAAUUAAUUUAUUUCAUAUAUAAUGUAUUCAAGCUUUAUUUACAUGUAUUUGAGAUAUAUUCAUUAGAACUCAGACAAAUAAAAAAGAAAGAAGAAGAUUUUACCUUAAGUCAUGGGUGAUAAUAUUAUUAAUGGAGAAGGGCUUAAAAUGCCUCUCAACUAUUUGAAUUGGUACAAAACUAUCAUCCAUCCACGUUUUAAUCCAAAAAUACCCUCGAUAUUAACUCUUUGACUCAUAUUUGAUGUUAUAUUUUUUUAUAUCCCCCCUAAAGUGAAAUCAUUUGAUACUUAUUUAUUUUCUUGUCUAAUCUGAUUAGUCCAAAAUUAAAUCAUUCUCAAAUAAAUAACCAAAACCACAUAAGUCGGUGGCAAAGACGGAGGCGGAAUUAGGAGUUUGGGUGUUCUAAAUUUUAAAACAAAGAAACUUUUUUGUUGAUAGUGAGGUUCAAACCCACAUCUCUAGCGACUAGCAUGGAGAGCAUUUUCGCAUCCCCUUCCUUCCCACUAUGCCAUCAAUUAGUUUUAUUAGGGGUUCACAACUUAAUAUACAUUUAUAUUUAUUUAAUUAUCUAAUACAAUUACAAAAUCUACAGAAAAAGCUACUGAGUUUGUUCAAACCCACAAACUCCCACUUAACUAUGACAUUGAUCAAUGAAACUUGAAUCCACCGAUUACCCUCAACUGAUUGUACAAUUAAUAUGCCAAAGUGAUAAAAUAAAUUAUCAAAAUAAAAGUGUCUCUACCAUGAGAACUCCUGCAAUCUGUACAAAAUAUGUUAGUAAGAAAGAACAAAAAUAAAGAAAAGCCAAAACCAGAAACAAACCUGGAGUCUUGGUAAAUUUUGUUCAAAUAUCAUUUAAAUUUGUGGCAUCUUUUAAUAUUCCAACUUGUGCUUCACGUAUGGAUGAACACUUAAUUUCUCUUGUUUCACAUUGUUGAAUUCAGUGACUCGUGUUGUAAAAUUAAGCAUGGAAUAAUAUAACUAUAAAAAAAAGACAAGAUAAGUAUAUGAAGGAGAUAUUUCUUCUUCUAUUCAAGUGUUUUUUAUAAUAGUGAAUGAUAUAUCUAUUUAUAGGUUGAGUAAUCACCUGAAAAGAAUCAGGAUUAAGUGCAUAUCUAUUACUCCCUCUGUCCUAAUUACUUGUCAUUUUUUCUUUUAUAGUUGUCCCUAUUUACUUGUCCAUUUUGACAAAUCAAUAAAAGACAAAAAAAAAUUAUAUUAUACCCUCAAUUAAUUACUUUGAAAAAGGUAGAACUUUUUGAAAAUAUUAAAAUUUUAAUUCAUCCACUUCAUAAUUAAUAGGGGUAAAAUGGUAAACUUAUUAUGUCAAUAAUUAUUUUCUUAAUAGGUGUGUAAAUUUAAAAGUGGACAAAUAAUUAGGAACAGAGGGAAGGGAGUACAUUAUUAAGUACUACUAAUUAAAUAUGCAAUAAUGAAACAUUAGAAUAAAAAUCCACUAGAAAAUAUUAAUAAAAGGCAAAAUAUUUUUUAAAAAAGGGAAAUUUAAAAAGUUCCACGAACAGUCGAACACUACAUUAUAUGCUUAAUUCAUUAGAUUCCUUUACGUAGGUGCUCACGCCACUAUGUGAAAUAAGCCAUGAUUCUUUUACAACAAUAAUAAAUAAAAAAUUCUUUCCAUUUAUUAUUAUUAAUGCUAAUAAACAAAGCUAUAAUAAUAUAAUAAUAUGUAGAAUCAAAGAAAGGUAAGGGUAUCCGCGUGUGCCAUAUUAAGUCAAAUUAUUGACUCGAUUUGUUUAAGUUAGUAUCUUCUAGUACUAAAGACCAUCCUUUUAUAUAAAUGAUAAUUUUCAUUGCACCUUUCAUAAACUAAUCGAAAAUUGCUUCCCUGUUUUAUUUAUUAUUCCUCAUUCUUCCGAAGUUAUUUUCUCCUUUUUUUUAGACAAUGUUUAGUGGCGAAGUCAGAAAUUCAAAAAGAAAUAUUUUUUAUGCUAAAGAGAUUUUUAACUCAAAUGGACCUCCUCACACCUCUCUGCCUCCGUCCUUGCCGAUGUUUAUAUCAAAUCAAGUAAUUUAAUCAGAAUAAUUAAAAUCAAAAUUAAGAAAAUAUAGAAUACCAAGUAAGUUUUUACUAGAUGUACUAUAGUAAUAAAGUAGGUAGCUCUAAUUUGACGGGGAUCGAAAAGAGCCAAGGGGCAUGUAUUAAGAAUAAAUAGUCCUUUAACAUGAUCAUAAUGAACCACGUCAUCCCACAUUAACAAGACUAAAGUUAUUAAUUAGCUCAACUAAUAAUAUUUUUUCUUUCUCAUUUUCUUUAUGAAAAGUGUGUGCCUUUGGUAGAUCUCUUUCGAUUUUUGAUAAAUAAGUAAUAUUGAGACUAUCUCUUAAGACCAUCUCCAACCCAUCUCUAUUUUACCCUCCAUUCUCUAUAUUUGGAGAGUAAAAUAGAGAAUAUCCUCUCCAACCCUUCUCCAUAUUACUCUCUAUACUUUAUUUAUAGAGAGGUGAAUAGUAGUUCUCCAAAUUUUGGAGAACCACUAUUCACCUCUCUAUUUCACUUUUUGAUUAUUUUAUUAUUUAUAUUAUAUCAUUAAUUAAGUCUUUACUAUUUGUAAUUAUUUUCUAAUAUAAUAUAACAUCUAAAAAUAUAUUAUUUAACAGUUACUACUUUCAUUCGAAUUAAUAAUUUUUAUAUUUUAUUUUUAAAAAAUUAGCACUUUAAAUAUGUAAUAAAAUAUUAUUUUAAUAUUAUUUAUAUUAUAAAAGACUAUUAAUUAAGUCUCUAAUAUUUGUACUUAUUUUCUAAGUAAUAUAAUAUCUAAAAACAUAUUAUUGAUAAGCAUACUACUUCCAUCCCGAAUUAACAAUUUUUGUAAUUUGAUUUUUUAAAAGUUCUUGUCACUUUAAAUAUGUAAUUUAAAAUUAUAAUUAUUUUUCACUAUGAAGAAUGCACAAUCCACCUUUAUGUUAUAUUGAUAAAUGAUUAAACUACACUUUUUAAUUAGCAUGAAAAUGCUUGAUGCAAUAGUUUAAAUGUAAUAGGGGAAGUAAAUUAGUAUACAAAAUAAUUGAUCGUUAAUGUAAAAUUUUUUUAGCUAUAAAUAAAAAAAAUGAGGACAAAAAAUUAUUCAUUUGAACUCCGUAAUAUAUUAAUAGAGCAUUUAUGAGAGAAACGUAACAAUCUUGAAAGUUGAAUAUUUAUGUAAAAUUUAAAAUAAUUUUUAUGAUAAUGCAAUAUUGAUGAUAUAGUUGUAGUUCAUCAAUAAUUUCACUUUGAUUUGAAUUGUUCACUAAUAUGUAUUAUAUAUAAUAUUUGUCGCAUUUAUGUUAUUUAGAAUAAAAUAAUUUUUAUUAAAUGAAGAAUUUGAAAAGAAUAAAAUUUUAUAUUAUACGAGAUUAUAUAAAUUAUAGGGUGCUUAUUUGCAAAAAAAAUUGAUUCAUAUUAUGAAAUAAGGAAAUAAAAAUGAAAUAGAAAUAAUAAUAUAAUAUUGAGGAGAGAGAAAAAGAUUCAUUUGUAGAGAGUAAAAUAGAGAAUUGGGUUGAAGUUGGUUGUCUGAAAAAAUAGAAAACUCUAUUUUUAGAAAGUAAAAUAGAGGGUAGGGUUGAAGAUGUCCUAAGUUUUUAUAAUACAAUCAAACUUAUGUUUACGAGACUAUCCAAAUUUCAAUAUAGUGUGAGAAUAAAGUUUUACAUUAAUAAAUUUUUUUUAAAAGUAAGCUACUUGUAAGGAACUAGACAAUCUAUAUAUAAUAAAGGAGAAACAUAAAAAAAAAAAAGUGAUGUAACAACUCUCUAUGGCCUCCAUUUGCAUUUAUCAUUUUUCUCCUUUUUUUGAUUUUUUUUUUUAAAAUUUAAAUUAAUUAUUGUAUUGUAAAAAUAAAUUACUAAAUUUAUUACAAAUAAAUAAUUUAUUAAUUGAGGAACAUUCACCACAAAAACUCUUCACAUUUUUUUUAUUUGUUUGUCUCACUUAUAAUAAAGAAGAAACAUAAUUUAUCUUUUUUCUCUUUUUUUUGGUUUUUUUUUAAUUCAAAUGAAUUAUUGUAUUGUAAAAGUAAAUUUCUUAAUUUAUUACAAAUAAAUAUUUUAUUAAUGGAGGAACAUUUACAACAAAAAGUCUCCACGUUCUUUUUUUAUUUGUUUGUCUCACUUCUAAUCAUGAAAUGAUAGUAGUUUUUUAUAUAUAUAUUUUAAGUAUUUUUCUCUAUAUUUUUUAAUUUUUUUCACAAGGAGUUAUUAUCCAUGACUUACCCUUCUUUAAUUUUUACUUUUAAUAAUAUUCAUAACUCUCAUAAUUUUUUUUUCCACAACCUCCAAACUUAAAUUUGUAAGUUUAUGAUGUUUUAUGGUAUUCCUUUAUUUUGCCUAUAAAUUCAUAUUAGUUUCAUGAAGAUUCACAUUCAAAAUUAUCCUUUCUCUUUUUCAUCACAUUGGAUUGGUUUGUAACAAAAAAAAAGUACAUUAAGGUAAGAAAUAUUUCAUUUUCAAGUUUUUAUUUUUCAUUUCCUCUAUUUUGUGUAUAUAAAUUCAUAUUUAGUUUGUGAAUGAAACUAACAUGUAACAAAAAAAAAAAGUAACAUGAAGUUAAAUAAAAUAAUUUCAAUUCUCAAGUCCUUAUUUUUUCAUUUCCUCUAUUUUGUCUAUAUAAAUUCAUAUUUACUUUCAUGAAGAUUCACAUACAAAUUUAUCAUUUCUCUUCUUCAUCAUAUUUGUUUGUGAAUUAACAAACAUGUAACAAAAAAGAAGUACAUAAAGAUAAGAUAUAUUUCAUUCUCAAAUCUUUCUUUUUAUUUUUAUGUACUUGGACAUGCUUUCUUAAUAUUUUAUUUAUGUUUGUAUUAUCAUACAUCAAGCAAGUAUGAUUUAAAAUAACGCCUUUGUACUUCUUAACAAUGUGUUGUCUGUAUACAAUUGUUCUUUCUAAUAGUCAGUUUUCCGGUUAUAAUAUAGUUUGAUUAUAAUAUUUGUUAGAUUUCAAGAAAUGAUUAUUAUUUAAUAUUGUUAGUACUAUUGAAAAAUAAUAUACAAAUAUGUUAUAUAUAGUUUAAAUUUCUUUCUUUUUUUUAUAUGAUUAUUUUUAAUUGUUAUAUAUGAUAUUUUAUUAUUUUAUUUUUUAUUCAAUUAGUUGCAUAUGAUGAAGAGUUUGACGUAUGGAACAAAAUAUGGUAGCGGAUCUACUUGCAAAGGAAGAUGGUAGAAGGGAAAAAAAUGAAGCAUAAUUAAAGUUACUUUUGCUAGAAUUUUUAAAAUUUUGGUUUGUAUAAAUAAUUUAGAUAAAUGUAUUGUCAAUGCUAAUCAUUUUAUCCUUCUAUUCUACCUUUUCUUUGUUAUGAAACACAAUUAAUAUAAUUAUCCCAUUUCAACAACAACAAAAAAAUUAUGAUGAUUAGGAGUUUCAUUUUUACUAUACUUGCAAAAAAGUAGAUGAAAAAUAAAAUAUUAGUUUCAUGAUGCCAUUUUUUUGUGUAUGUAACAAUCAAUUUUCGUCACCAUAAAUGUAUUUAUAAUUUUUAUGCAGUCACUGAUUAUUAUAUUUUUUUGUUCAUUUUUUGUAUUUUCAUCCCAUAUUUUCAUUUAUUUAUUUUACAAAUAAAAUCAAUGCAUAAUUAUUAAUACAUUUAAUGUCUAAUAAAAUUAUACAUUUAAAUUAUUUAUAACUCAUGUCUCUUCAUCUUACUUGUAACUUCUAAUAAUAUUAAAUAUUAUUCAUAAGUUUAGUAUGUUUCAUUUUUCACAAUUCUUAUAAAUAUUUAAUUAAUGUUUAAAAAAUUACAACAAACAAAUGUAAUAAUAAAGUCAUAAUAAAAAAAUCAUUUUUUUUUAUGAAAUCAGAGUUUGUAUAGAAAAUUAGUACUCCAACAAAAGAUAGAGGAAAUUAAAACGUAUAAACUAUUUUCAAUGUAAUACUAUUAUUUCAAAAUAUUACCUCUUAUUGCAUUUACUUCACCUCGGUAAAUAUUUUGUUCUACUAUAUACAUAAGAAUAGUUUGCACUUAAAAAAUGUAAAAAUAAUAAUUAUAUUUUAUAUGUUUUAUAAAAAAAAAACACGUAUGAUAUCACAGAUGAAGAGAAAUAUCAAUAUUAUCUUAUAUAUUUGAUACUAACCUAAAUAUAAAUAUUACAUAUUAUUAUCUUAUAAAUACUUCAUAUAGCCGCGCGAAGCGCGGAUAGUUUCACUAGUAUGCAUGAUAUUCUUAAUGGUAUGAAAUUUUUUGGGUAAAAAUCGUAUUGUUUUAGUCCAAGAUGGAUAGUGUCAUACCAUGUUAAGAGUAUUUUUGAGUUGUUUUAGCCAAACAAUUAGUAUCAAAGUCAAUGGUUCGAAGAGACGAAUAUUGAGAAAUAUAUAUAGUAGAGUGAUGAUGCAUGUAAGACCGGCUAAGGGCCUUUGCCUGUCUACCGACCAAUUUGUUACGUUUAUCUUAUCUGUAACUUUACAAAUACAUACAAAAGGAAGUCAAUGGACUUUGUCACUAUCAUCGAUAUCGAUCUCAUCAAGAAUACAAAUCGUUAAAUAUUUGAUCAAAUAGGAUUACCUCAUUCCUAUAUAAAUAUAUAGAAUCUAUCACUAAAAUAACCUAGAAGGGAUAAGGCUAAUUAAGCAAAAAGUUUUUUCAUGAGAUGGGGAAUGAAAAUUAGUUUCCCCGUAUGAAAUUUCUGAAUAAGUGAUAUAUUGUCUCAUAAUAAUGUAACAUCUCGUACUUCGAAAAAGUUAACUAGAGAUUCGUACAAGUAAAACUUAAGUUUUGAGUUUUGAGUCAACUUCAAACAACCAUAACUUUCAGCAUAGAAUGAUUUAGGUGACCCAAUAGGUAUCAAAUUGAAGUCUUCGAGUCCUCUUUCCAAUGCCGCCGAGUUUGCUGAAUUCCGAGUUUGUAUGAAAGAGUUAUGGCCGUUUGAGUGCAGCCUCUCUACGUAACGCAUUUCAUCCGUUUUAAGGAGGGGUAUUUUGGUCUUUUCCUUACUCCACUAGCCUAGCACAUUUUUUUUCACCCAAUUAGGGGUCUAAGCUGAUUGAUAUCAGUUUUCAUUCAUUCUUAAACGCUUAGGGUUGAGAGAAGGGUUUCAAGAGGAUAAAAAGAAGAAGGUUUCAAGCGUUCAUUCAAGAUUUGUGGAUUUUCUCCAAGACUUAGUUCUUUCGAGGUAUAUAAGCUUUCAUAGUGUUGUGUUUGUUCUCCCUCACGCCAAUCAUGUUAUAUUUUUCACUCAUAAAUUCAUUCUUGAAGUGGAUGAAUUGAGUUUUUGAGGUUUUAGCUACAUUCCUUAACAAUGGAGUCUUGUUGAGUUCUUGAGGUGAGGGUUUUUUGAAUGAGUGUUGUUCUUGAUAGAAUUUGAGUUGGCUUUCAUUGAUUUUGUGUUGGGUUUGUGAAUCAAAGGAAGUUUGGAAGAGAUCAUUCGAUUCUAGAUGAGUUAGGGCUUCAAAUUGAGCAAGAAAAUUUGUCAAAUUGCUGGGUAGGGGCAUGGGGCGGUGCGCCACUACUGCGCCAGAACUACUACCUAGUAGUUUGGGGCCUGGCGCGGCGCACCACUCAGUGCACCCCAAACAUUGGUAAGUAGUUUAAGAGUUGGCGCCCUGCGCCACUCAGUGCACCAGGGUCGCCAAGUCCCUUACUCUUCCGUCCUUCUUUCCGUGUUUGUUCCCUCAAAUCGUACCUAUGUUCUCUCCUUGAUAUACACACUUAAAAUCUUCAUUAAUCCUUAAGAGAUUAUGCAUAUUAUAAUUACAUCUCUUGAUUUACAUUUCAAAUUAAAGUAAAGUUAAGAGGAAAGUUCAAGAAGUCCUUUUUGAGUCAUUUUGGGAAGUCUUUUACAAUCUUCUAGCACUUGAAUUAAGACUUGAUCAGUAAAUGAGUAUGAGAAUGAGAAGAGUUGAGUUCAUAUUUCAAAAUGAGUAUAAGGGAACUAAGUAUUUCCAAAUAUGUAAUACUUUUACAUUUAAAAGAGAGAAACACCAAAAUCUAAAUAAACAUUAUGAUGGGUCUUGAGAAUUACCUCUUUUAAGAGGGUUUUUUGAGUAAUUAUCUCAAAUUGAGGAAGAGUAAUGUUUUAAAAUAUUUGAGCAUGAGUUAUAUAUUAUUGGGAGUAGUAUUGAACACCAAUAUGGGGAUAAGUUCAGACAACUCACAUUCCUCAUAAACCAUGUAGCCAAUAUGGGUAAAUGAUCAUACUUUUUAGAUGAUUCCUUAUUGCUUUUAAGUAUAGCUUAGUGGAUCCACUUCAUUGAGGAGUUCUAUACCUUGGCAAGGUAUAUGACAGUUUUGGCAGCAUGGGUGAGACGUUGUGUCAUCACGUAGCUCAUAGUGAUGGUUGUCGAUUAGAGAAUCUCCCAAAUAAGAGUAAAAGAGUUUAUUAUGGUAUUUUUAUACAUUUUGAGUUAUUACCUACAUUUUAAAAAGCUUUAUACAUAUUGCAUCUUUUAUUGUUGCUUUCAUAUUGAGUUGAGUUCAGGUGAGUAUGAUUUCCCCUUUCUAUCAGUUCAGCUAUGUAUCUAUAUGUUCAGUUUCCCCUUACAUGCUCGUACAUUUAUACUGACGUCAUUCGACCUGCAUAUUUUCAUGAUGCAGAUACAUGUAUGCAGGGUAAUUAAUGGGCGCUCCGUUGAUACCACUUGCAUUUCCAGUUAGUUUUAGUGGCCUCCUUGCUUUCGGAGGGUUCCACAUUUAAAUUUCUGUAUUGUUAGGAUGUCGUGGGUCUUGUCUCAACUUCCAUCAUAGUAUUUAGAGGCUUCAUAGAUAGUAGUCUUUUCUCGUUUCCCUUGUUGAUGUUCCUUUGAGGCUUUGAGUUAAUUACUUAUGCUUGAUUAAGUAUUUUUCAGGCAUUUAUUGAGUUAAAACUGUUUUGAGACUAUAUGAGUUCAGUUUGGUAUCUGGAGUCUCCAUUUUUCUUGAGUAAGUCUUCCGCUGAGUAAUUGAGUCAGGCCAAGGGUUCGCUUGGGAACCAUCAAUUGUUCUUGAGUGUCGGCCAUGUCCAGGGUGUAGGCUCGGGACAUGACAAAUAAGUAAGGAACAUAUAUUCAUCUUUCUGCUUAACAUGAUGAAUUUCAAUCCAUAAUUUAUUAGAUGUUUUUUUAUGAUCAAUAUCAUACUAAUUAAAUAUCAUAAGUAAUUGCUCGAAUAUCGUCAGUUAUUUGAUAACCAUAGUUAUUCUUUGAUAAAUGUACAUUAUAUGUCAUAUUUGAUAAAAACUGAUGAAUCUUCUGAAGGUGGAGAGGUGGAGAACUGAAUUAAGAAUUUUCUUUCUUUAUCAUCAAUUGAAUCACUAUUUGCGACCAAAAAUCUAUUUUAUCAUCAAUUCAAUCUCUGUUCAUGCUUUUCCCUUUUCUUACUCGAUUGAUGUGACUGAUACAUAAUUAAUUUAUAAAUUAUCCCAUGACUAGUAAAGAUCACGUGUAAAUUAUUGAAUAAGUAUAAAUAAAAUCUCAUGUUGAUCGUAAAAAAGAUAAUUAAGCUACUUAUAAUAUUAAAUAUCUUUAAUAGUAUGAGGUAUUUUGAAGAGAAUUUUUUUUUUAUGUGAGUUUAAUCUAAAAUAAACACUAUCACAUUUUAUUAAGAAUAUAUGUUGAUCGUUUUAACCUAACACUAAAUAGUGAAAUAUAUGAUGUGUAUUCCACUUCUUCGUUGCUUUUUCCCAUCAUACGCACCAAUUCAUGUGUAAAGUUUUGUAUUAAUAAGAAGCUUACAAAUUAAAUUUAUUUUCAAGGAAAAGUGCAUUCCAAUUCAAGUAAAGUUAAGUGUCUUAGCUUGAAUCUUAUUCUGUAAACGUUUUUCUAAGAAUAGAAUAAAACGUUUAAUUAAAAUAUUUCUUCACUAUCUCAAAUUCUACCCUAAUUAACUGAGGUCCCGUAAUUAGUCACUAUGAAACAUAUAAAUAAUUAUUAUAGGAGACAAAAAGAAUAAGUAUAUCGUGUCAUUUCAUAUCAUGGCCAAUAAAAUUGAUUUCCACAUGGAUCUAUUGACAUAUUAUAUAUUUUUAGAAUAUAAUUGAGAGUUGAGUAAUCAAAUUAGAAAUUCCCAAGUGAGUGUUGAUCCCAAUUAAUAAUUAUUUUUCACGUAAUUAUGGUUAGAGGAAAUUAAGUUUUCAAAAGCUACACAUUUAGGACCUAAAAUUACGCAAGUAGAACUAUAAAUAAAGACCUAAGGUUAAAAGGUAGUCAAAUUAAUUAGAAACACGUUUAGGUACCCUUUUGACUAUGUUGCCAAAUUUUUACUGUUAUAUUUUUGGCUUUACACAUGCCCUUUAACAUGGCUUCAGUUGGCGUCUAGGUCCUCCAAUUUUGAGUAUGCACAACUAUGACACUUAAAUUUAUAUAAAAUUGAAUAAAUAGACACAUCCGUCCUACGUGGUGUUCUACAUGACAAUUUUAUAUUCUACGUGGUGUCCUACAUGUAUUAUGCCGAAUAGGACGUGUUGAAGGAAGCUUGAAGACUGAUGGAACAUGUCAUCGAAGUAGGCUGGCGAGUUAGAGUUAUAGUCAUACUAGGACUAGACUACUAAAUCCUAAGUUAUGUACGACUAAGCUACUGUAUAUUGUAGGAGUCGACUAGGAUAAGGUAUUUGAGUUAUAAUAUAAUACUACUCAUGUAAAUAAUUGUGUUGUAGUAGGAUUCCUAGUAUAACUAGAAUAGGACUCUUCUCCUAUAUAAGGAGCUUGUAACUCAACAUUAUUAUUAUCAAUACAAUCCUUGAAUUCUCCAUACUCACGUGAGAUUUCUACGUGGUAUCAGAGCAAUAGAGUUUUUCCGCUCUUUAACGUAUUAGAUCAAAACCAAAACAACCACAUUAUCAAACCGUAAUGGCCCCUUCUACCAACACUCUUUCAACCUCUUCACUUCAUCAUCUUAUUUCGUCCUGCUCCAUUAAACUUGAGCCAGCGAACUAUCUUAUAUGAAGAAUUCAAGGAUUGUAUUGAUAAUAAUAAUGUUGAGUUACAAGCUCCUUAUUUAGGAGUAGAGUCAUAUAUAUUCUAGUUAUACUAGGAAUUCUACUACAACACAAUUAUUUACAUGAGUAGUAUUAUAUUAUAACUCAAAUACCUUAUCCUAGUCGACUCCUACAAUAUACAGUAGCUUAGUCGUACAUAACUUAGGAUUUAGUAGUAUAGUCCUAGUAUGACUCUAACUCUAACUCGUGCCUGCUUCGAUGGACCUGUUCCUUCGACAUGUUCCAUCAGUCUUCAAGCUUCCUUCAACAGGACGUAUGUGUCUACUUGUUCAAUUUUAUACAAGUUUAAGUGUCUACUUGUGCACAUCCAAAGUUUGAAGACUUAGAUACCAACUGCCAAAUGAAAGAGCUUAUUUAUGUAUUAUGCCUAUAGUUUUAGGUAUGUUCUCCAACUCUUUUGUCAUCGCCAAGAACAUCAUAUUUCUUUAAUUUCAUGCUUGAAAUUCUUGUUUGGAGUUAGAAAUUCAAAGUUGAUAGUUUUUAUUUUACUUCAAUACUAUUUUCACUUAAGUUGAAUAUAACUUAUAUACACUAACAACAACAAAAGCAUACGUACCCACUGCCUAAUAUAAUUUCACAAGUAAAAUUUAAGGAAAGUAGUUUAUAGCAGAUUUUUAUCUCUAUCUUUUGGGGUAAAAAAUUAUUUUCGAUAAAUCUCAGCCCAAAAGAAGUUAAAUUGUAUACGAGGAAAGUAUAAAAAGAAAAUAUGCUAUCAAAUCAUUAACUUGAUUAUAAUUACAUUUAACUAACCACAAUUAGUGGAAUUAGCAUAUAACCUUAAAGGUAAGACAAAUAUCUUUCUAUAUUAAGUUAAAUUCCACUAUUAGUAGGAGAAUUUCCCAAAUACUAUUAGUGUAAUUUAAGAGUCUGUUUGGAAAAAAUUAUUUAAGUGCUUUAAAUCCAAAUUAGUUUUAAUGGAGAAGGGCUUAAAAUAUCUUUCAAGUAUAGAAAAUAGAAUAAAAAUAUCCUCCUUCCACCUUCGGACUUCAAAAUACCAUUUCAUCACCUAUAUUACCCUUUCACUUAACAUAUAUGACCAAAAACACUAGUUAUAUACAAGUAGAUCCCGCCUCCCUCUCUUUAAGCCACAACUGAGCAUUUUACCCCCAAAAAUUGAUUCUAUAGUAUAAACAUGAACUCUAGUCGUUACUCGUUGGAAAGUUUCCUAACACAAAGUGAAGAACAUAUUUUUACCAAAUCACAUAUUUAAAUGUAGGCAUACUUUCCCCAUACUCUUCAUUAAUUUCGCAAAAGGCGCCUCCAAAUCAGAGAAAGUAAAUUGAUUUGUUCAGAAGGGUUCUCCCCCAUGUUUUUUUUUAAAAAAGAUAUGAGUCAAUAGAAUUUUAAGUGAGUCGGAUAGAAUUUAGCUGGAUCCAGGUUUGAUUAGGAGAAAUUAUAAUUUUUGAUCAACUUAAAUUUUAGUCAAUUAAAGACUGUCAUGUCAUCAAUGAAAGGAUAAAUUACAAUAUUAAAGAAUUUGUUAAGUGAAAGGGAAAUAUAUGUCCAUAUAAGUGGAUAGAAGGGUAUUUUGGAGCCCAAAAGUGGAAGGAGAGUAUUUUUGUUUCAUUUCCUAUACUUGAAGAAUAUUUUAGGCCCUUUUCCGUAGUUUUAAAGUACUUUUGUAGUACUGUUUAUAUAAAAUAAAAAGGUAUUUUUACGUCAAAAGCCAUAAGUUAGAAUUCCUAACUUAUGUUUGUUGGUUAUAAGCCAAUCCAAACAGACUCUAAGUCUUUUCCACUAAGGAUUAAAAAAAUUAGCAUCCAAUUUAUUAACCACUAAAUACCACAAUGCACCAGCAACUUGCACAACGGUGAUCAAUGUGCCCAAACACCCAAGAAACAUGUUGAGGCAAUACAUUAAACUGUUUCUUUUAGGUUUCUUGAUUGAAAUCCACAUGAAGCAAGG